rnacentral:rRNA from 1 species
AACGAACGCUGGCGGCAGGCCUAACACAUGCAAGUCGAGCGAGCAUUUCGGUGCUAGCGGCGGACGGGUGAGUAACGCGUGGGAACGUGCCCUUUUCUGCGGAAUAGUCCUGGGAAACUGGGGGUAAUACCGCAUACGCCCUUUUGGGGAAAGAUUUAUCGGAGAAGGAUCGGCCCGCGUUGGAUUAGGUAGUUGGUGGGGUAAUGGCCCACCAAGCCGACGAUCCAUAGCUGGUUUGAGAGGAUGAUCAGCCACACUGGGACUGAGACACGGCCCAGACUCCUACGGGAGGCAGCAGUGGUGAAUCUUAGACAAUGGGGGCAACCCUGAUCUAGCCAUGCCGCGUGAGUGAUGAAGGCCUUAGGGUUGUAAAGCUCUUUCAGCUGGGAAGAUAAUGACGGUACCAGCAGAAGAAGCCCCGGCUAACUCCGUG